rnacentral:rRNA from 1 species
GGUGGUCAGCGCCCGCCAAAUGACCAUCAAACUCCAGUCAGUAAACGACGCAGUCUGAAAAAACAUUUAAUAAACUAAAACUUUCAACAACGGAUCUCUUGGUUCUGGCAUCGAUGAAGAACGCAGCGAAAUGCGAUAAGUAAUGUGAAUUGCAGAAUUCAGUGAAUCAUCGAAUCUUUGAACGCACAUUGCGCCCUUUGGUAUUCCGAAGGGCAUGCCUGUUCGAGCGUCAUUACAACCCUCAAGCUCUGCUUGGUAUUUGGGCACCGUCCUUUGCGGGCGCGCCUCAAAGACCUCGGCGGUGGCGUCUAUGCCUCAAGCGUAGUAAACAUACAUCUCGCUUCGGAGCGCAAGGCGUCGCCCGCCGGACGAACCUUCUGAACUUUUCUCAAGGUUGACCUCGGAUCAAGUAAGGAUAACCCGGUAACUUAAGCAU